GGGGGGGUUGAGCAUGAGAUUCUGCGGCGGACGGGUGAGUAAUGCCUAGAGAAUCUGCCUGGUAGUGGGGGAUAACGUCCGGAAACGGGCGCUAAUACCGCAUACGUCCUGAGGGAGAAAGUGGGGGAUCUUCGGACCUCACGCUAUCAGAUGAGCCUAGGUCGGAUUAGCUAGUUGGUGGGGUAAAGGCCUACCAAGGCGACGAUCCGUAACUGGUCUGAGAGGAUGAUCAGUCACACUGGAACUGAGACACGGUCCAGACUCCUACGGGAGGCAGCAGUGGGGAAUAUUGGACAAUGGGCGAAAGCCUGAUCCAGCCAUGCCGCGUGUGUGAAGAAGGUCUUCGGAUUGUAAAGCACUUUAAGUUGGGAGGAAGGGCAGUAAGUUAAUACCUUGCUGUUUUGACGUUACCAACAGAAUAAGCACCGGCUAACUUCGUGCCAGCAGCCGCGGUAAUACGAAGGGUGCAAGCGUUAAUCGGAAUUACUGGGCGUAAAGCGCGCGUAGGUGGUUCAGCAAGUUGGAUGUGAAAUCCCCGGGCUCAACCUGGGAACUGCAUCCAAAACUACUGAGCUAGAGUACGGUAGAGGGUGGUGGAAUUUCCUGUGUAGCGGUGAAAUGCGUAGAUAUAGGAAGGAACACCAGUGGCGAAGGCGACCACCUGGACUGAUACUGACACUGAGGUGCGAAAGCGUGGGGAGCAAACAGGAUUAGAUACCCUGGUAGUCCACGCCGUAAACGAUGUCGACUAGCCGUUGGGAUUCUUGAGAUCUUAGUGGCAGCUAACGCGAUAAGUCGACGCUGGGGAGUACGGCGCAGGUUAAAACUCAAAUGAAUUGACGGGGGCCGCAAAGNGGUGGAGCAUGUGGUUUAAUUCGAGCAACGCGAAAUUAUGGUUGACAUGUGAAACUUCAGAGAUGAUGUGCUUCGGGACUC
rnacentral:rRNA from 1 species